UGAACUUUAUCUGAGUUUCAAUGUUGUAAAUAAAUGUUAAAAGUUUGUUUAAACAUCUGAAAUUCAUUGCGCUGCGUUUCCGAAGUUCAUUCUUCAGGCUUGCAAGUGCUGUCUGGAAUACAGGCAGGGCAGGGGACUUUAAAAUGUACGCUGAUAUGGAAAUUGCUGUAAUAACCAGUACCGAGACAGCAGAACGCGGCAGAACUAACUACAAUUUUAGAGAAAUCUUUAUAGACAUUACAACGAAAAUCUAGCACACCCAACCAUUCCACAGCGAACGGUAUCCGUCCUAUAGCCUCUACAUGUAGAGGUAUAAGCUCUACAGACAAUCCGUCCAAAUUGUAAUGAAAAAGGCACGAGAUUCCCGGGGCGAAAAUAUCUCUAGAGCGUCUUCGUACGCAGGUUUCUAAGACAUGAGGGUAGGUAGGGUGGGCGCCUCGCCCAAUAGGAGGGAGGGGCGUGCCUACAGGGUCACAGGGGUCACACCGUCAUGCCCAAGUUGGGAUCAGGCCCAGGGUCGAAACAAAAUGUCGGCGUGAAACAACGAUUCCCGCGAAUCGAUGAAAACCGGCGCGCCGGUUAUUGAGCGAUUAGCGUAGCGUUAUCAAAUUGUUAUAUUGUUCCGUUUCAAUGGUACCGGUCUUUGAUUGUUUGUUUUGGAAGGUUUCCGCUAGAUUGGAUCCGGAAUCAAAUAAAAAUUCUUAUUAAGUAGUGUGCCUGAAUUUUUAUGGAGGUAUUUGUAUGUAUUCUUUAGUCUGUUGUAAUUUUUUAACUUAGC